rnacentral:rRNA from 1 species
UACGUAGGGUGCGAGCGUUGUCCGGAAUUAUUGGGCGUAAAGAGCUCGUAGGCGGUGUGUCGCGUCGGCCGUGAAAACCUGGGGCUCAACUCUGGGCGUGCGGUCGAUACGGGCAUCACUUGAGUUCGGCAGGGGAGACUGGAAUUCCUGGUGUAGCGGUGAAAUGCGCAGAUAUCAGGAGGAACACCGGUGGCGAAGGCGGGUCUCUGGGCCUUACCUGACGCUGAGGAGCGAAAGCGUGGGUAGCGAACAGG